UAUUUUUUUUAAGCUCUGUCCAUUUAGAACAAAAUGUGCAUGCAUGCUUAUGAAAUAAUUGAACCCACCCCCGGGUGAAGAUCUAAAAAGCUAUGUUUUAAAAGCACAAUAUUUCUGUUUAUUUUAAUACAAGAAAUAUUUAUUGUUCUAAUUUUCAGUUCUGUCUGGACGUGGGACAUCUUUUUACCAUCUUUAUUGUUUUUUUUUUUUUACAUGUUGUCUUUUGUUAUGUGUUAAUAGCUAUGGUUAUUAGUCAUGUUCGACUUCAUGCAGCACUGCGAGAACCGACAUCAUACGUUGAUGACGUCAAUGUAUCGCGAGAGCGAGUCAAGAAAUUACACUCUCGCGGUACAUUGACGUUAUCAACCUGUCAGCGCAGCAAGAAGUCGAACACACGUAUUUGCGGGCGCGCGCCUCCGUCCUCGUGAGUUCAAAGUGGAUUUUAACCGUUUACCUCAGACGACAGUUUUCAUUUCUAUGGCAUAUUCUAAGGCCAUUUUCUUGUUGUGUUUUGAUGUUUUCCAUUGGCUGAAGACUAAGAUGAGCCUGAAGAGGAGAUUUGGGAAGUCUUUGCUUUGCCAGAUCACCUGUGGCCGAGAUGUUUUCUAACAAGAUGCCUUGUUGGUCUGGGCGAGUUUGAAGUCUCUCAUAGACAGUCCAGAAGGUCUGGAGUCCAUCUUAGCUUUUAUUGAUGCUGUCAUCAGGUUUUAAGUACAGUAUGAGCCAGAAUGGAAGGGUGUUGGUGGCCAUAAGAAGACAGUGAGCUAAACCUACAACAAAAUUCAUAUUUGCAGUUUUCCUGGAAUAUUUGUUUCUAUUCAGAUGAAUAAAAUUACUUUUAAAUAUUAUUUUGUUUUCAUAUUUUAUGUUUUUAUUCUGUAUUUGGAAUAUUCCACUUCUGCACUACUAACUGGAAACCUAACUGUUGGAAAGAAAGAUCAAUUUUAACAGCUGCUUUUAUGUUUAUUUAGAAAGGGUAGGCACAUGCCAUCAUUCAAAUUCAAACUACUUAAGGUGUUUAGUUUUAUGGAUGGGGUUGUACUGUAGGUAAUGAGCAGCAAAUUUCAUUCUUGUAAUAAUUACACUAAAAACAUGAUAUGUACAGCAAAUCAUUUGGUGAGUACUGAAAUGUUAAGUAAAAAUCUAUAUUUAGUGUUAAAAAGUGUGUUAAAACUGCGUCGCGAUAUCAACCUUGAUUCACCUUUAUUGAAAGUGUGACGUUGAAACAACAUUGAAAUGUUGUGAAAUCAACAUUGAAACAACGUUGUGAAGUCAACUUUGAUUCACUUUGCAAAACCAAAAGGUAAUUCAACGUUGAUUCAACGUUGGUACCUGACGUUGAUUCAACGUUGAAAUGCCGGCUGAGAAGCUAAGACCAGCCUAAACCAGCUAAAACCAGCCUGGCCAGCUAAGACCAGCUUAAACCAGCUAAAAUCAACCUGGCCAACUAAGACCAGCUAAAACCAGCCUGGCCAGCUUUAACCAGCCUGGCCAGCUUAAACCAGCCUGACCAGCUAAAACCAGCCUGACCAGCUAAGACCAGCCACCCGACCAGCUAAAACCAGCUUAAACCAGCUAAGACCAUCUUAAACCAGCCUGGCCAGCUUAAACCAGCUAAAACCAGCCUGACCAGCUAAAGCCAGCCUGACCAGCUAAGACCAGCCAUCCUGACCAGCCAAGACCAGCCUGACCAGCUAAAACCAGCCUGACCAGCUACAAAAAGUCGCCAAAACCCCUCUUAAACCAGCAUGAUACACCAGCUAUGACCAGGCUGGGAGACCAGCUAAAACCAGCUUG